rnacentral:rRNA from 1 species
UACGUAGGGUGCAAGCGUUGUCCGGAAUUAUUGGGCGUAAAGAGCUCGUAGGCGGUCUGUCACGUCGGCUGUGAAAUCCCGAGGCUCAACCUCGGGUCUGCAGUCGAUACGGGCAAACUAGAGUAUUGGAGGGGAGACUGGAAUUCCUGGUGUAGCGGUGAAAUGCGCAGAUAUCAGGAGGAACACCGGUGGCGAAGGCGGGUCUCUGGGCAAUAACUGACGCUGAGGAGCGAAAGCGUGGGGAGCGAACAGG